CUUCUUUGCUUCCUGUCUGGUCCUGCUGUUUCCUUUGCUCAGGCUCCUGGGUCGGCUACGGAGUGGCCCUGGGGCCCUCGCUUUGAAUCUCCCAAACCAAUUCUCAUUAAAUUGGGCUUCAGACGAAAGCUUGUGCUGAGUUCUCUGUAGGCAGUGUUCCUGGUGAGCUGCCCCUCCUCACAAGUGAGAGCUCAGGCUCAUAAAUACUGCAUGCACUGUCUCAUAAAUGAGAUUAAGAUCGGAGUGAAUCUGGGAGGAACAUGGGCGCUAGGAGCCGGUGAGAUGACUCAGCACCCUGUCCAUCAUCCCUGUCGACCACACCUACCGAUUCA
ensembl:lncRNA